GCUUCCGUGGCGCAGCAGGACAGCGCAGCAGAUUCCGAGUCUGAAGGUCGCUGGUUCGAGUCCAGCCGGAAGCACCA
rnacentral:tRNA from 1 species